rnacentral:rRNA from 1 species
UACGAAGGGGGCUAGCGUUGCUCGGAAUGACUGGGCGUAAAGGGCGCGUAGGCGGUUUGGACAGUCAGAUGUGAAAUUCCUGGGCUCAACCUGGGGGCUGCAUUUGAUACGUUCGGACUAGAGUGGGGAAGAGGGUCGUGGAUUCCCAGUGUAGAGGUGAAAUUCGUAGAUAUUGGGAAGAACACCGGUGGCGAAGGCGGCGACCUGGUCCUUGACUGACGCUGAGGCGCGAAAGCGUGGGGAGCAAACAGG